GAAGGCCGCGGCCAGGUCCUCUUCCCCCUCGCGGUCCGGGAUCUCGGACUCGGGGGCCGUGUUGCUGCGGCCGGAGCCAAAAUGAAACCGAAGCCGAUGGGCCAUGGUGCCCGGGGGGGCGGGGAGGCGGCGGGCGAGUGGCAAGCGGGGGCCCGGCGCUGCCAGAAGUCAAAAACCGAAGACGCAAACUCCAAGAAAAAGCGUCCCAUCUGCCAAACCGUGAGCACUGCGGCCCCGAGCGCGACAGAUAGCAGAAAUAACCCAAGUGGCGAGCGGCAUUCCAGGCAUGAUUGGAUAAGAGCAAGAAGCCCUCAUCCGCCCUGGGGCAGAGGCAAGAGCCUGAAACAGCACCUUCCCAGCUGCUGCUUUUCCAUCAGACAGGAGUGGCCCCAGCAGGCAGCUCUCACAGCUGACGAAGGCAGCAAACGCAGUCCAAGCCCUGCUGCUAUAAAUCUAAAACCGCGUCGAAUCCACCGGACGGGCCUUUCCGAACGAGGCAGGGCGCUCGGGCUCUCCAACCAAGCCCGGGGACGCGGCCCUGGACCCAGGAGCGCACGGCGCGUUUCCCCCGGCUCCCCCCGGCACACCCGACGACCACGAGGAAAAAAAGGCCCUGGCUGCAAGAAAACCCUUCCACAAGCAUCGGAUAUUGUUUCUCUGUUAUUUAUGAUAUCACCACACUACCACGAUGGAAUGCAAACUAAUAAAAGGUACUAUAAAUAUGAUUACACA